UGAAAAAGGCAAACCGGCCGUGAGACCGGGACGCAAAACUAGAGGGUCUUGUUUAAGAAUAUUCAAAAUAGCAAGACAGCCAGCUGCCA
rnacentral:ncRNA from 1 species